rnacentral:rRNA from 1 species
CCUACGGGCGGCAGCAGUAGGGAAUCUUCCACAAUGGACGAAAGUCUGAUGGAGCAACGCCGCGUGAGUGAAGAAGGGUUUCGGCUCGUAAAGCUCUGUUGGUGGAGAAGAAAGAUAGGGGUAGUAACUGGCCUUUAUUUGACGGUAAUUACUUAGAAAGUCACGGCUAACUACGUGCCAGCAGCCGCGGGAAUACGUAGGUGGCAAGCGUUGUCCGGAUUUAUUGGGCGUAAAGCGAGUGCAGGCGGGUCACUAAGUCUGAUGUUAAAGGCGUCGGGUCAACCGGAGAAUUGCAUCAGAAACUGUAGAACUUGAGUGCAGAAGAGGAGAGUGGAACUCCAUGUGUAGCGGUGGAAUGCGUAGAUAUAAGGAAGAACACCAGUGGCGAAGGCGGCUCUCUGGUCUGCAACUGACGCUGAGGCUCGAAAGCAUGGGUAGCGAACAGGAUUAGAUACCCCUGUAGUC